UACAGAGGCCCCAAGCGUUACUGAGAAUCACUGGGUUUAAAGGGUGCGUAGGUGGCGCGUUAAGUCCGUUGUGAAAUCCCUUGGCUCAACCAAGGAAAUGCUUCGGAUACUGGCGUGCUUGAGGCUAGUAAGGGUCACUGGAACUGACGGUGGAGCGGUGAAAUGCGCAGAUAUCAGGAAGAACACCCGUGGCUAAGGCGGCUCUCUAGUACGGUACUGACGCUGAGACGCGAAAGCGUGGGGAGCGAACAGG
rnacentral:rRNA from 1 species